rnacentral:tRNA from 1 species
GAUUCCCUUGCUCAGUUGGUUGAGCAUCCCGAUCUUUUGAUCGGGAGGGUCCUGGGUUCGAGUCCCAGCGGGAUCA